rnacentral:pre_miRNA from 1 species
CUCGUACUCUCUCCGUCUGGAAAUACUUGUCGGAGAAAUGCAUAAAAAUGAUAAAAUACAUCUAGAUACAUCCAUUCCUCCGACGAGUAUUUUCGGACGGAGGGAGUACUUA